rnacentral:rRNA from 1 species
UAGAUGACGCUGGCGGCGUGCCUAAUACAUGCAAGUCGAGCGAACGGACGAGAAGCUUGCUUCUCUGAUGUUAGCGGCGGACGGGUGAGUAACACGUGGAUAACCUACCUAUAAGACUGGGAUAACUUCGGGAAACCGGAGCUAAUACCGGAUAAUAUUUUGAACCGCAUGGUUCAAAAGUGAAAGACGGUCUUGCUGUCACUUAUAGAUGGAUCCGCGCUGCAUUAGCUAGUUGGUAAGGUAACGGCUUACCAAGGCAACGAUGCAUAGCCGACCUGAGAGGGUGAUCGGCCACACUGGAACUGAGACACGGUCCAGACUCCUACGGGAGGCAGCAGUAGGGAAUCUUCCGCAAUGGGCGAAAGCCUGACGGAGCAACGCCGCGUGAGUGAUGAAGGUCUUCGGAUCGUAAAACUCUGUUAUUAGGGAAGAACAUAUGUGUAAGUAACUGUGCACAUCUUGACGGUACCUAAUCAGAAAGCCACGGCUAACUACGUGCCAGCAGCCGCGGUAAUACGUAGGUGGCAAGCGUUAUCCGGAAUUAUUGGGCGUAAAGCGCGCGUAGGCGGUUUUUUAAGUCUGAUGUGAAAGCCCACGGCUCAACCCGUGGAGGGUCAUUGGAAACUGGAAAACUUGAGUGCAGAAGAGGAAAGUGGAAUUCCAUGUGUAGCGGUGAAAUGCGCAGAGAUAUGGAGGAACACCAGUGGCGAAGGCGACUUUCUGGUCUGUAACUGACGCUGAUGUGCGAAAGCGUGGGGAUCAAACAGGAUUAGAUACCCUGGUAGUCCACGCCGUAAACGAUGAGUGCUAAGUGUUAGGGGGUUUCCGCCCCUUAGUGCUGCAGCUAACGCAUUAAGCACUCCGCCUGGGGAGUACGACCGCAAGGUUGAAACUCAAAGGAAUUGACGGGGACCCGCACAAGCGGUGGAGCAUGUGGUUUAAUUCGAAGCAACGCGAAGAACCUUACCAAAUCUUGACAUCCUUUGACAACUCUAGAGAUAGAGCCUUCCCCUUCGGGGGACAAAGUGACAGGUGGUGCAUGGUUGUCGUCAGCUCGUGUCGUGAGAUGUUGGGUUAAGUCCCGCAACGAGCGCAACCCUUAAGCUUAGUUGCCAUCAUUAAGUUGGGCACUCUAAGUUGACUGCCGGUGACAAACCGGAGGAAGGUGGGGAUGACGUCAAAUCAUCAUGCCCCUUAUGAUUUGGGCUACACACGUGCUACAAUGGACAAUACAAAGGGCAGCGAAACCGCGAGGUCAAGCAAAUCCCAUAAAGUUGUUCUCAGUUCGGAUUGUAGUCUGCAACUCGACUACAUGAAGCUGGAAUCGCUAGUAAUCGUAGAUCAGCAUGCUACGGUGAAUACGUUCCCGGGUCUUGUACACACCGCCCGUCACACCACGAGAGUUUGUAACACCCGAAGCCGGUGGAGUAACCUUUUAGGAGCUAGCCGUCGAAGGUGGGACAAAUGAUGGGU